GUCUACUGCCAUACCAUCCUGAACGAUUCUGAUCUCAUCUGAUCUUGGAAGAUAAGAAGAUAAGCAGGGUCGGGCCUGGUUAGUACUUGGAUGGGAGAUCACCUGUGUAUACCGGGUGUUGUAGGCU
ensembl:rRNA 5S_rRNA 5S ribosomal RNA